UACGAAGGGGGCUAGCGUUGCUCGGAUUGACUGGGCGUAAAGGGCGCGUAGGCGGUUUGUACAGUCAGGCGUGAAAUUCCUGGGCUCAACCUGGGGGCUGCGUUUGAUACGUGCAGACUUGAGUUCGGAAGAGGGUCGUGGAAUUCCCAGUGUAGAGGUGAAAUUCGUAGAUAUUAGGAAGAACACCGGUGGCGAAGGCGGCCCACUGGAUCGGUACUGACGCUGAGGUGCGAAAGCGUGGGGAGCAAACAGG
rnacentral:rRNA from 1 species